rnacentral:rRNA from 1 species
CACGUAGGGCGCAAGCGUUGUCCGGAAUUAUUGGGCGUAAAGAGCUCGUAGGCGGUUUGUCGCGUCUGCUGUGAAAACGCGAGGCUCAACCUCGCGCCUGCAGUGGGUACGGGCAGACUAGAGUGCGGUAGGGGAGAUUGGAAUUCCUGGUGUAGCGGUGGAAUGCGCAGAUAUCAGGAGGAACACCGAUGGCGAAGGCAGAUCUCUGGGCCGUAACUGACGCUGAGGAGCGAAAGCAUGGGGAGCGAACAGG